CAUUGUAAAUGGUAAAUGGUAAAUGGACUGCAUUUAUAUAGCGCUUUUAUCCAAAGCGCUUUACAAUUGAUGCCUCUCAUUCGCCAGAGCAGUUAGGGGUUAGGUGUCUUGCUCAAGGACACUUUGACAUGCCCAGGGUGGGGUUUGAACCAGCAACCAUCCGACUGCCAGACAAUCGGUCUUACCUCCUGAGCUAUGUCGCCCCAAAUGGAGCACAUACACACACACACACACACACACUACAUUCCUUUUUGAAUUAGUAAUAAUUAUGAAGCUGUAUUGUAUGACAUCUUGUAAUUUCCUGCUUUUUUUGCAAAUGUUUAAUUUUCCUGUUGUCAUUUUUAUUGACAUCCUUGCCUCCAACCCACAGAGAUUUCUGUUUCACCGCUGGCUCUCAGUAUAUGAUGUGGCUAUUAGUACACACAGGCUGCUUCCUGCAUACAAGGUUCUGUAUUUUGGCUUCAUGGUGUUACAUCCUAGUGUAUUAUUUAGAACACAAUUAUUAUUAUUAAGGGAUGUUACUGUUUUGGGUUUUUGGCUGGGUAUUGGUGGUUGUUUGUGUUCAGGUGGAGGUAAACAUGCAUCCUGUUGCCGGGUGACCUGACUUGGAGGAUGCUGUUGGGAAGGACGCACCGACGACUGUCGCGGAGGAACCGUUUUGGAGGAUGCGCGGUGACGAGGACGCCGGUGUCGUCGCUCGGAGACCGGACCAGAUGUGGCCGUAGCUGGGGACGCCGGGGACCACUGCGGAGCAACGCUUAGGGAAAGAUGCGGGCCUAUAUAACAGCUGGACGCCGUCAUCACAUCAGAACCGUCUUUUCAUCUGCUGCUGAAAGCCACGCCUGACUUCGCUCGGCUCCGAGAAUUCUAUCCAACCUUUAAGUUAACAAAUAGGUUUAGAUUAGUCGCGGUAUCUGGCAGUUCAGUACCUGACCAGCAGAGGAUGCUAAACAUCACGGGAUCCCUGCAGUUGGACUUGCAGAGGACCGGCCUCACGGACGACUUGGACCGCUGUACUGGCUGCCUGGCAUGACACAGCAAGGCAGAGACCGGAAGAAGAGAGUGAUCAGAAAGAUGUGGCAUGAGAACAUCACUACAACUCAGUCUAUACAUUGGAGUGCUGGCCAUCCUGAAGGAAUAUGUGAUGGUUUUCCAGGGUAGCCAGACGUUAGUCCACAAGUUACAUGACAAGCAACUUGAAGUGUUCACACACUUCAUGGCAUGUUUCAUCAAAGCUGAACAUCUGAGCAAUGUGCAACCCAAAGCACUGGUAGAGCUUGACUUCACAGACAAGAUGCUGCCUGCAAGAGAAAUCUAUGUGGGAUGAGAAGCAGAUGAAUUCAGAACCAAGAAUCCAGAACACGCACUGCUGAAGGUUUUCCUUGAGAAAGUAAUCAGCACAUUUACCACCACUGCUAAGUACCUACAGAAGCAGCUACCGAUUCAAAGUCCAACGGUUCAGAGUCUGUCUUCCCUGGAUCCCACUGUAAGGGGUCACUCACUGACUGGUAAUUGCCUCAAGAAACUGGCUACCAUGAUGAAACACCUUAUACCAGCAAAGAGCGAUGUGCACAUGGAAGUCAUCAAGUACAAUGUGGAUCCAUUUCUGGCCACUUACAAGGAGGGAGAAUGUGGUGUAGUGGUGGACCCAUGUGAUGAAAACAGGGAGGUACCCAGCCCUCAACCAAGUGGUGAAAGCUGCACUCUCAUUCUUCCACGGUCCUGUGGUGGAGUCAUCAUUUAGCUUAAUGAACAGUAUAAUCGACACCAGAAGAACCAACAUGAACAUGUCAACCUUCAGUGCUGUUCAGACUGUGAAGUAUCAACUACAGUCGAGGCAGAAGACGGCAGUAGAGAUGUUUGGACGAACAGAUGUGAAGUUUGGAGAGGUGGACUGCAGGCUCUGCCGAAACAUGCAGUCUGCAGGAACCACCGACAAGGCCCAGUGGCAGAGGAAUCUUCUGCAAGAUGAAAGAAGGCGCCUUGAGUAUGGCUGCCAUCGUUCAGGCAAUGCUCAGGAGAGCAAGAGGGCUACAGCUGAGGAUGAAAAAAGGGCCAGGCUCAAGCACGCUGCAAAACAAAAAAAGCGGGCGCUUGAGACUCUAGUACAGGCCAAAAAGAAGAAAUAAGGACAGUCUCUCUCUCUCUCUACCAAAAUAUAAUAUUUGCUGUGUUUUCCAUUUGAUUUGUCAGUUGUGCAUAUUGUAUUUUUGUUUUGUUUGAUUAACUUUAUUGUAUAGUCGAUGCAAUGCACUUUAAUACAAUU